GAUGGGUAAACUGUAAAUAAAAACAGAAUGCAAUGAUUUGCAAAUCUUAAACCCAUAUUUUAUUCACAAUAGAAUGUAGAACACAUAUCACAUGUUUAAACUGAGGAAAUGUACAAUUUUAAGGGAAAAAUAGGUAAUUUUCAAUUUGAUGGCAGCAACACAUCUCAAAAAAGAUUAUUUCAAUUAUUUUAUUUUAACAUUGCUGAAGUACAAAAAGUUGUUGAAGUUUCAGCAAGGCAAACCUCCUGUUUGUCUCUUACCCUGUUCAUAUCACACCUCCACUACCCAGUCUCGUCCUGACUGUUACUGGCUGACGACUUCAUGAAAAAUUACAACUGCAAAUUACACCUGAAAUUACAAGUGGAAUAAGCAACCACAGCUGUUUUUUUUUUUGUUUUUUUUUUUAAUUAAAGCAUAUAAUUUGCAUUCAUUGUAAUUAGCCAUGUUAGCCAUUGUGAAAUAUGAUGCAUUGAAAUUACUGUAUUGAAAUAAUUGCAUUUUAUAUGAAAGGGCUCAGGAAGGGAGGUGGAUAUCAGCUAGGAUGGCAGAUAGAAACAGACAGAAGCUCAUUGAGACAUAAGAAGGGAGUGUUGGUCAGAGACGAACGAAAAACAAAGACUCUUUUUAAAAAAAGAAACCUUGUCCUCAUAAAACCUUUUCCAGUAAAACAACUAACUGCGCAUGCUCCACAAAUUUAAGAUAACAUAUAGAUUUGAAUAAUUAAUUGUGGCCAAAGAAGACUGGUCUUUUUUUAAUGAGAAAAGGUAAAACCCCACCUAAGAUGAGUUUGCUGUGGAGAAAGGUAUAAAAAGGGCUGUGUGUGGUUGCAUAAUUUAGACUUUCUGCAGACUGUCUCACUUUAUUGUUUCAAUAAAGUUUAAUUACUUUUGACAUCUACAAACCCUCUGUCUCUGAAGCUUUUUGUUAGGCUGGAAAGAUUAUUUCCCACGACAGUCCUCUUGGGGAGGCUACAAUUUGGAUACAAGAAAGAACAGUGUAAAAAGAUAAUGAAUGGAUGGUUCAUUUAUUUGCAAUGAUUUAAUACGUCAGAAUAAUUUCAACAUAGUACUGCUUUGUAUCCAGCUGAUUUUGCUGCAGCUUCUUCAACGUUGUAAGUUUCAGAUGAACUGAGGUUCAUCAAGGCGACUUCUGCUUCCAGAAGAACCCAUUUCCAUGCCAGUCAGAGAAAGUCUACGCUUGCCAUCACUCUCUACAUUUUGGUGAGACUGGUCAAAGAUGCUCUGUUUGGCAAAGAGCUGGCAGAUCCUCUUGGGGAGGUCACACUGGCUGAUCACUAGAAGGUGGUGAAGGGACAGGGCUAGCACAUUCCUGGUGUCCAAUCAGCUCAAGGCUUUGGGAAGUUAUGUCAGAAGGAGUGUUUUCCUCAGAAGGAGCAGCCAUGAUUUGCUCAAGCUCAACAUCUGAUUUAGCCACAAGUCCUUCUUCUGCUACUUCAUCAGAUCUUGACAUGUGGUCAACAUUUUCCGUUGCAGAAGUAGCAGUGAGCUCAAGAACGCUUGUAUCCGAAUCGGAGUCAGAUUUGAUUCUUGAAGUCAGAGGGUCAUCAAGGUGGCUCAUGCUUCCAGAAUCAGCCAAGAUGCCCUCAACCUCAUCUUUGGCCUUAACUUCAGGUCCAGAAGACUGGUCAAAUACUGUGGAGAACGGGACUUUGGUAGAUCUUCUUGGGGAGUCAGCUCUCUCUUUCACAAUGUCUGCAAUUUGGGCAAAAAAUUGUAUUUAGCUAUGACUAAUGUGAUUUGCAUUCAUCACAAUGGUAGUACAAUGCAAUGCUUUCUAUAAGUAA
ensembl:lncRNA